UGUCCUGGCAUGGUACCAGAAACCAGCAGCCUGGCUUCCUGUAUGAAGGAUGAAAAGGAGAAAAUAUUUCUAACAGCUACCCAGAGUAUUCACAUAAGGUGUCUCUGGCUAUCUAUGCAACGGUGAAGAAGUUCCUCUGAAAAACUAUAUAUUGCUGGUACAUCCUGAGAAGUAAACCCAUUGCAGAUGGAUUUGCUGUAGAAAUUGUUCUGCAUCGAUGACCUGUUUCAGUACAGAAAUUUAAAGAUGUACGAACCAUAGCUGCCUGCACCUUCUCAGGGACAGGCAGCUGCUUGGCAUUUGCUCUGGAAGGGGAAUGGACUUGCCUGUGAGUUCAUGCAGUGACCUGUCUGGCAGGGCCCCGAGUCAGUUAAACACCGGGAGAUGGGAAAGUAGAAUGCCCUCCAUCUGGAAAUUUACAGAAGCCAACAGAAGACAAAUUAGUAACCCUGGGAAGACAGAAAGACUGCCUGCAGCAACAUGACUUAAAUGUUUUGGCAUUCCUUUGUUUUCAUUUAGUAUUUAUUUGGGUGCAGUUGUUACUGCUUGCUGGGACAUGAAAUGCUUUGUCAGCUC